rnacentral:rRNA from 1 species
GCGGCGUGCCUAACACAUGCAAGUCGAACGGAUUUGAGGGGCUUGCUCCUCAAGUUAGUGGCGCACGGGUGAGUAACGCGUAGAUAAUCUGCCUGAUGAUCCGGGAUAACACUUCGAAAGGGGUGCUAAUACCGGAUAAGCCCACGGGGUCUUUGGAUUCUGCGGGAAAAGGGGGGGACCUUCGGGCCUUCUGUCAUCAGAUGAGUCUGCGUACCAUUAGCUAGUUGGUAGGGUAAUGGCCUACCAAGGCUACGAUGGUUAGCUGGUKUGAGAGAAUGAUCMSCCWCACUGGAACUGARACACGGUCCAGACUCCUACGGGAGGCAGCAGUGGGGAAUUUUGCGCAAUGGGCSAAAGCYUGACGCAGCAACKCCGCGUGAGUGAUGAAGGCUUUCGKGUCGUAAAGCUCUGUCGAGGGGAAAGAAGUGUWUUGUGGCUAAUA